AUGUUUGAUGUUCUAACGUUGGCCCGUAAUCCGGGUUGCGGACAGUGUCUGGUGGGUAGUUUGACUGGGGCGGUCUCCUCCUAAAGAGUAACGGAGGAGCACGAAGGUUGGCUAAUCCUGGUCGGACAUCAGGAGGUUAGUGCAAUGGCAUAAGCCAGCUUGACUGCGAGCGUGACGGCGCGAGCAGGUGCGAAAGCAGGUCAUAGUGAUCCGGUGGUUCUGAAUGGAAGGGCCAUCGCUCAACGGAUAAAAGGUACUCCGGGGAUAACAGGCUGAUACCGCCCAAGAGUUCAUAUCGACGGCGGUGUUUGGCACCUCGAUGUCGGCUCAUCACAUCCUGGGGCUGAAGUAGGUCCCAAGGGUAUGGCUGUUCGCCAUUUAAAGUGGUACGCGAGCUGGGUUUAGAACGUCGUGAGACAGUUCGGUCCCUAUCUGCCGUGGGCGCUGGAGAACUGAGGGGGGCUGCUCCUAGUACGAGAGGACCGGAGUGGACGCAUCACUGGUGUUCGGGUUGUCAUGCCAAUGGCACUGCCCGGUAGCUAAAUGCGGAAGAGAUAAGUGCUGAAAGCAUCUAAGCACGAAACUUGCCCCGAGAUGAGUUCUCCCUGACUCCUUGAGAGUCCUGAAGGAACGUUGAAGACGACGACGUUGAUAGGCCGGGUGUGUAAGCGCAGCGAUGCGUUGAGCUAACCGGUACUAAUGAACCGUGAGGCUUAACCUUACAACGCCGAAG
rnacentral:rRNA from 1 species